UAGGGAAUCUUCGGCAAUGGGGGGAACCCUGACCGAGCAACGCCGCGUGAGUGAAGCAGGUUUUCGGAUCGUAAAGCUCUGUUGUUAAGGAAGAACGAGUGUGAGAAUGGAAAGUUCAUGCUGUGACGGUACUUAACCAGAAAGGGACGGCUAACUACGUGCCAGCAGCCGCGGUAAUACGUAGGUCCCGAGCGUUGUCCGGAUUUAUUGGGCGUAAAGCGAGCGCAGGCGGUUAGAAAAGUCUGAAGUGAAAGGCAGUGGCUCAACCAUUGUAGGCUUUGGAAACUGUUUAACUUGAGUGCAGAAGGGGAGAGUGGAAUUCCAUGUGUAGCGGUGAAAUGCGUAGAUAUAUGGAGGAACACCGGUGGCGAAAGCGGCUCUCUGGUCUGUAACUGACGCUGAGGCUCGAAAGCGUGGGGAGCGAACAGG
rnacentral:rRNA from 1 species